rnacentral:hammerhead_ribozyme from 1 species
ACCUGGCUGAUGAGUCUUAAAUAAGACGAAACGGUUGUCUAAGAU